rnacentral:rRNA from 1 species
AUUGAACGCUGGCGGCAGGCCUAACACAUGCAAGUCGAACGAGUGGCGGACGGGUGAGUAAUGUCUGGGAAUCUGGCCUAUGGAGGGGGAUCACUACUGGAAACUGUAGCUAAUACCGCAUACCCUCGGAUGAGCCCAUGUGGGAUUAGGUAGUUGGUGGGGUAAAGGCUCACCUAGGCGACGAUCUCUAGCUGGUCUGAGAGGAUGACCAGCCACACUGGGACUGAGACACGGUCCAGACUCCUACGGGAGGCAGCAGUGGGGAAUAUUGCACAAUGGGCGCAAGCCUGAUGCAGCCAUGCCGCGUGUAUGAAGAAGGCCUUCGGGUUGGAAAGUACUUUCAGCGGGGAGGCGUUACCCGCAGAAGAAGCACCGGCUAACUCCGUGCCAGCAGCCGCGGUAAUAC